rnacentral:sRNA from 1 species
AGUGGCAACCGCUGCCUGAGCAGUUCUAGCUGGGAGAGGUGGGUGCUGCAGAGUCUGGGAUUCCAGGGUGAAAGCCACAGGUUCGCCUGAAUAAGCUCUUACUGCUUGUGGUUCCUGAACUGAAGAUGCAGGCGGAUCUGGAGAUCCCCUGCGACCUCACGCUGGAUGCCCUGCUGGAGAUGAACGAGGCCAAGGUGAAGGAGACGCUGCGGCGCUGCGGGGCCAGCGGGGAUGAGUGUGGCCGUCUGCAGUAUGCCCUCACCUGCCUGCGAAAGGUGACAGGCCUGGGUACGUAGGGCCUGCUACCCUCUCCCUUGCUUGGCCUGGUGCCCUGGGGGCUGUGGCCUUCACCAUGGUGGGUGAUGGAGCGGGGGCAAGCAAGGCCCAGGGUUUCUGGGGCAGCCUGGAAAGGCCAGGGUUGGAUGUUCACAGCCUCCUGAGAAGCUGUCACGGGGUCCUCAGGGCUCUGGAGAAUGGUGGGUCUGGCCAGGCCGAAUCUGAGGGGGCUUCAGCCGUGGUUAGAAAUCCCAGGCCUGUCUGCUGGGCUGGGCUGGCCUGGCAUGGUUUCCUCUCUGUGGAGGGUUCUGUGUACCCUCUGCCAGCUUCCCACAUUCCAGCCCCCAGCCCUGUCCCCGCCUUCUCCUGUCCCCGUUGCUGACUGGGUUCUGUGCUCAGAAGGCACACGCUGAUGUGGGCCUGAGCCAAGGGUGAUUAGGGAAACUCUAUGGCUCUUUAGCUGGGAGUGUGUACGUGGCUGUCCCAGGCAAAGUGUGUAAUCCUGGCCUUGCCACGAGGUCCUUGGGAAUUAUUCACAGGCUUUCUAAAUCUUGCCUUGGUAACAGCUUCAAAUGCCUGACUUAAUGGUCCCACUACCACAUAGAUAAGGCAUUAAAAUAAGCCUCAUGAAUGGAAUCAGGCCUGGUUUUUAAUUAUCUGAGGCCCCUGUCUUAUCUCUGUCUGCCUGAGGCUUAAGGAAGGCACUGAGGUUUAUAUUCUGCCUGGUUUUUUUCAUCCCAGAGAGGAUCGGGCUUAAUUUCCUCUCUGCCCUCAUUGUAUCAAGUCCUCUGAACACGGCCCAGUGUAGAAAGUUGCACUCAAUUCAGAAAAUCUUGACCUGCCAGGUCUCCCGGCAGAUGCUGGAAAUAAACACAACAGAGGUGUGGCUGGUGUUCUUGUUCUCACAUAUUGCAGGAGGAGACUGAGCUCAGAGAGGGAAGGGGGUUGGGUAAGGGCACACAGCAGUUGGUGGCUGAGCCAGAAUUUGAACCUUGGGCCGUGAUGGCGAUUGGUUUGUCCCCAUGCUUGCCACCCAAGCUGAGAUCUUUGGGGUAAUUUGUCAGCCCAUCUUUCCUUCCUCCUUAUGCCUGGAUUUUAAAGAAUUGUGGAAGAGUCAGCUUUUAAGUGGUAGUGACCCAGUUGUGUCAUGCAGGCUGCUGUCCACCUGUCCUAGAUGCCAAAACAGGGAGAUCACUAAUUUAUGCACCUACUGUGUGCCAGGCGUGUGACACACAUAUUGUGGCCACACCGUUGUAAGAGGUAGUGUUGAGCUCACUUUGUAGCUGAGGCCUCUCUGACCACUGGAGGCGUUGGAUGAGUCAUCUGGGGCCCCACACCUGGCAUGGAGCAGAGCUGGGCUUUGAACUCAGGUUUCUUGUUCAGAGGGUGCUUUUUCCAGCAGGCCUUAGAGGAGGUCCCUGAAGAAGAAGCAUUUUCUGGGUUUCUUCUCUCUCAUUUAGUCUCAGCUUGUGGUGCCUCUGCAUCCCCAGCAGAGUCCUAACCCCAUCACAGUCCAGGAUACAGGCCUUUCGUCUGCCCAGUGCUGGCUGCACUUCACAGGCACCUGCUGGGAUCCGCUGGGUACCAGUGAUCCCAUCAGAUCAUGCAUCACAGCAUCUUCAUUGCAUCCCCAGGGGGCUUGGUGAGAGCAGUCUAGUCACAGUACGGGUGGGCUGUGGAAUCAGACCGCCUGGGCCCUGCCUGGGCCCAGCACUCUGCUCGGCCACUUAGAACCUGUGGGACCUUGGUGAGUUACUUCACCUCACUGUGCCUCAGUUUCCUCAUCUGUAAAAUGGCAGUGAUAACGACACCUCUCUCAGGGUUGUUGUGAAGAGGAAAUGAGUUAACGUAAAGUCCUUAGAUCAGAGCCUGGCAUGUAUUAGAUGUUCUUUUCAGUGUGAGGCCUAUGAGGUGAUAGAAAGCGUGGAAGUCAUUUCCUUUGCAAUCUCUGGUCUAAAGAAAGGUGACUGAACAGCUGGGCAUGGUGGCCCAGGCCUGUAAUCCCAGCAUUUGGGAGGCUGAGGCAGGCUGAUUGCUUGAGUUCGGGAGUUCAAGACCACCCUGGGCAACAUGGCAAAACCCUGUCUCUACAAAAAAUACAAAAGUUAGCCAAGAGUGAUUGUGCGUGCCAGUAAUCCCAGCUACUCAGGAAGCUGAGGUGGGAGCAUGGCUUGAGCCUGGGAGGUAGGGGUUGCAGUGAGCCAAGAUCGUACCACUGCACUCCAGCCUUGGUAACAGAGUCAGACCCUGUCUCACC